AUUGAACGCUGGCGGCAUGCCUUACACAUGCAAGUCGAACGGUAACGCGGGCAACCUGGCGACGAGUGGCGGAACGGGUGAGUAAUAUAUCGGAACGUGCCCAGUAGUGGGGGAUACGCCCGGACGAAAGCCGGAUUAAUACCGCAUACGACCUAUGGGUGAAAGCGGGGGAUCGCAAGACCUCGCGCUAUUGGAGCGGCCGAUAUCAGAUUAGGUAGUUGGUGGGGUAAAGGCCUACCAAGCCUACGAUCUGUAGCUGGUCUGAGAGGACGACCAGCCACACUGGGACUGAGACACGGCCCAGACUCCUACGGGAGGCAGCAGUGGGGAAUUUUGGACAAUGGGCGCAAGCCUGAUCCAGCCAUGCCGCGUGCGGGAAGAAGGCCUUCGGGUUGUAAACCGCUUUUGUCAGGGAAGAAAUCUUCUGGGCUAAUACCUCGGGAGGAUGACGGUACCUGAAGAAUAAGCACCGGCUAACUACGUG
rnacentral:rRNA from 1 species